rnacentral:rRNA from 1 species
AAAGGUAAGCUACUAAGAGCGAAUGGUGGAUGCCUUGACUGGUAAAGGCGAUGAAGGACGUACUAGACUGCGAUAAGCUACGGGGAGCUGUCAAGAAGCUUUGAUCCGUAGAUUUCCGAAUGGGGCAACCCAAUGUAUAGAGAUAUACAUUACCUAUAUAGGAGCGAACGAGGGGAAUUGAAACAUCUUAGUACCCUCAGGAAAAGAAAUCAAUAGAGAUUGCGUCAGUAGCGGCGAGCGAAAGCGCAAGAGGGCAAACCCAGUGCUUGCACU